rnacentral:sRNA from 1 species
GGGUUGGUAAGGUCUUGUCAGGUGUUGACAAUGUGAAGAUAGAGGAUUGAUAUGUCCUGGUUUUUACUCAUUUCUAACAUAGUUUCAGAAUGGUUUUUAGAGUCUUUCUAGUCUUUUUCGUAUGAUUUAAUUCAUUUCAGGUGCACUUAC